rnacentral:rRNA from 1 species
AGAGUUUGAUCAUGGCUCAGAUUGAACGCUGGCGGCAGGCCUAACACAUGCAAGUCGAGCGGUAGCACAGAGAGCUUGCUCUCGGGUGACGAGCGGCGGACGGGUGAGUAAUGUCUGGGAAACUGCCUGAUGGAGGGGGAUAACUACUGGAAACGGUAGCUAAUACCGCAUAACGUCGCAAGACCAAAGUGGGGGACCUUCGGGCCUCAUGCCAUCAGAUGUGCCCAGAUGGGAUUAGCUGGUAGGUGGGGUAACGGCUCACCUAGGCGACGAUCCCUAGCUGGUCUGAGAGGAUGACCAGCCACACUGGAACUGAGACACGGUCCAGACUCCUACGGGAGGCAGCAGUGGGGAAUAUUGCACAAUGGGCGCAAGCCUGAUGCAGCCAUGCCGCGUGUGUGAAGAAGGCCUUCGGGUUGUAAAGCACUUUCAGCGGGGAGGAAGGCGGUGAGGUUAAUAACCUCACCGAUUGACGUUACCCGCAGAAGAAGCACCGGCUAACUCCGUGCCAGCAGCCGCGGUAAUACGGAGGGUGCAAGCGUUAAUCGGAAUUACUGGGCGUAAAGCGCACGCAGGCGGUCUGUCAAGUCGGAUGUGAAAUCCCCGGGCUCAACCUGGGAACUGCAUUCGAAACUGGCAGGCUAGAGUCUUGUAGAGGGGGGUAGAAUUCCAGGUGUAGCGGUGAAAUGCGUAGAGAUCUGGAGGAAUACCGGUGGCGAAGGCGGCCCCCUGGACAAAGACUGACGCUCAGGUGCGAAAGCGUGGGGAGCAAACAGGAUUAGAUACCCUGGUAGUCCACGCUGUAAACGAUGUCGAUUUGGAGGUUGUGCCCUUGAGGCGUGGCUUCCGGAGCUAACGCGUUAAAUCGACCGCCUGGGGAGUACGGCCGCAAGGUUAAAACUCAAAUGAAUUGACGGGGGCCCGCACAAGCGGUGGAGCAUGUGGUUUAAUUCGAUGCAACGCGAAGAACCUUACCUGGUCUUGACAUCCACAGAACUUAGCAGAGAUGCUUUGGUGCCUUCGGGAACUGUGAGACAGGUGCUGCAUGGCUGUCGUCAGCUCGUGUUGUGAAAUGUUGGGUUAAGUCCCGCAACGAGCGCAACCCUUAUCCUUUGUUGCCAGCGGUUAGGCCGGGAACUCAAAGGAGACUGCCAGUGAUAAACUGGAGGAAGGUGGGGAUGACGUCAAGUCAUCAUGGCCCUUACGACCAGGGCUACACACGUGCUACAAUGGCAUAUACAAAGAGAAGCGACCUCGCGAGAGCAAGCGGACCUCAUAAAGUAUGUCGUAGUCCGGAUUGGAGUCUGCAACUCGACUCCAUGAAGUCGGAAUCGCUAGUAAUCGUAGAUCAGAAUGCUACGGUGAAUACGUUCCCGGGCCUUGUACACACCGCCCGUCACACCAUGGGAGUGGGUUGCAAAAGAAGUAGGUAGCUUAACCUUCGGGAGGGCGCUUACCACUUUGUGAUUCAUGACUGGGGUGAAGUCGUAACAAGGUAACCGUAGGGGAACCUGCGGUUG